UACGAAGGGGGCUAGCGUUGCUCGGAAUCACUGGGCGUAAAGCGCACGUAGGCGGACUCUUAAGUCAGGGGUGAAAUCCUGGAGCUCAACUCCAGAACUGCCUUUGAUACUGGGAGCCUUGAGUUCGAGAGAGGUGAGUGGAACUGCGAGUGUAGAGGUGAAAUUCGUAGAUAUUCGCAAGAACACCAGUGGCGAAGGCGGCUCACUGGCCCGGUACUGACGCUGAGGUGCGAAAGCGUGGGGAGCAAACAGG
rnacentral:rRNA from 1 species